AGGACGAACGCUGGCGGCGUGCUUAACACAUGCAAGUCGAGCGAUGAAGCUCUUCGGAAGUGGAUUAGCGGCGGACGGGUGAGUAACACGUGGGUAACCUGCCUCAUAGAGGGGAAUAGCCUUCCGAAAGGAAGAUUAAUACCGCAUAAGAUUGUAAUAUCGCAUGAUAUAGCAAUUAAAGGAGUAAUCCGCUAUGAGAUGGACCCGCGUCGCAUUAGCUAGUUGGUGAGGUAACGGCUCACCAAGGCGACGAUGCGUAGCCGACCUGAGAGGGUGAUCGGCCACAUUGGGACUGAGACACGGCCCAGACUCCUACGGGAGGCAGCAGUGGGGAAUAUUGCACAAUGGGGGAAACCCUGAUGCAGCCAACGCCGCGUGAGUGAUGACGGUCUUCGGAUUGUAAAGCUCUGUCUUCAGGGACGAUAAUGACGGUACCUGAGGAGGAAGCCACGGCUAACUACGUGCCAGCCGCUGC
rnacentral:rRNA from 1 species